rnacentral:lncRNA from 1 species
UUGCAUUUAUUUACACCAAAUAAUAGUAAAGAAUAAAAUUAUUAGAUAGACAAAAUUAACUUUCUAAAUAUUACAUGUCAAAAUUGUAUGAUGUCUAGUAAUAUAAAAUCAUCAACCAUUUCGAAUCAUAUAUAUAGACGAUAGAUAAAUAGUUAUGUUUCUUGUUCUUCCUGCAUGCAUGUCGCGGUGCCCCUACGAGUUGGCGAUGUGCCUAUAUUCUUGGAUGUUGGAGCUGUUGGUUACCUUGAGAGGAGAUGGGUCAAUUACCUUGAUAGCUUGACUAGUUGAGAGAGGAGAUGAGAUUGUGGAGAGGAAAAUGGAAGCCAAAUUGGAAUUUUGGGGAUUUUAGAGAAUGGGAGAGGAGAGAGUGGAGAGAAUGGAAGCUGAAUUGGGAAUCAGAUUUGGGGAUAUUUUGGGAUCUUGGAGAAUGAGAGAGGAGAAAGUGGAGAGAAUGGAAGCUAAAUUGGGAAUGAGAUUUUGGGGAUAUUGAGGAUUUUGGAGAAUGAGAGAGGAGAAUAAGGAGAAUGAGAUAGGGG